GGCUGUGGCCUUGACAGGUCUCACCAGCUAAGCAGGCUUGUGCCUGGUCCGUACUUUAAUGGGAGAGCUGCAAGGGAGAGCAUGGGUGCUUCUGGCU
rnacentral:rRNA from 1 species